UGAUGAUGAUGAUGAUGAUGAUGAUGAUGAUGAUGCACAAAUCAACCGCUGAUAGAGGUGUAAUCCAUCAUUAAAGAAUUUAAAAUGAUCAUCCUCAUCAUCAUUAUCAUGAUCA
rnacentral:miRNA from 1 species